GCAGUCGAACGGCAGCACAGGAGAGCUUGCUCUCUGGGUGGCGAGUGGCGGACGGGUGAGGAAUGCAUCGGAAUCUACUCUUUCGUGGGGGAUAACGUAGGGAAACUUACGCUAAUACCGCAUACGACCUACGGGUGAAAGCCGGGGACCUUCGGGCCUGGCGCGAAUGAAUGAGCCGAUGCCCGAUUAGCUAGUUGGCGGGGUAAGAGCCCACCAAGGCGACGAUCGGUAGCUGGUCUGAGAGGAUGAUCAGCCACACUGGAACUGAGACACGGUCCAGACUCCUACGGGAGGCAGCAGUGGGGAAUAUUGGACAAUGGGCGCAAGCCUGAUCCAGCCAUACCGCGUGGGUGAAGAAGGCCUUCGGGUUGUAAAGCCCUUUUGUUGGGAAAGAAAAGCAAUCGGUUAAUACCCGGUUAUUCUGACGGUACCCAAAGAAUAAGCACCGGCUAACUUCGUGCCAGCAGCCGCGGUAAUACGAAGGGUGCAAGCGUUACUCGGAAUUACUGGGCGUAAAGCGUGCGUAGGUGGUUGUUUAAGUCUGUCGUGAAAGCCCUGGGCUCAACCUGGGAAUUGCGAUGGAAACUGGGCGACUAGAGUGUGGCAGAGGGUAGUGGAAUUCCUGGUGUAGCAGUGAAAUGCGUAGAGAUCAGGAGGAACAUCCGUGGCGAAGGCGACUGCCUGGGCCAACACUGACACUGAGGCACGAAAGCGUGGGGGGCAAACAGGAUUAGAUACCCUGGUAGUCCACGCCCUAAACGAUGCGAACUGGAUGUUGGGUGCAAUUUGGCACGCAGUAUCGAAGCUAACGCGUUAAGUUCGCCGCCUGGGGAGUACGGUCGCAAGACUGAAACUCAAAGGA
rnacentral:rRNA from 1 species